AGAGUUUGAUCAUGGCUCAGAUUGAACGCUGGCGGCAGGCCUAACACAUGCAAGUCGAGCGGCAGCGGGAAAGUAGCUUGCUACUUUUGCCGGCGAGCGGCGGACGGGUGAGUAAUGCCUGGGAAAUUGCCCAGUCGAGGGGGAUAACAGUUGGAAACAGGUGCUAAUACCGCAUAAUGUCGCAAGACCAAAGAGGGGGACCUUCGGGCCACAUGCCAUUUGAUGAACCCAUAUGGGAUUAGCUAGUAGGUGGGGUAAUGGCUCACCUAGGCGACGAUCUCUAGCUGGUCUGAGAGGAUGAUCAGCCACACUGGAACUGAGACACGGUCCAGACUCCUACGGGAGGCAGCAGUGGGGAAUAUUGCACAAUGGGGGAAACCCUGAUGCAGCCAUGCCGCGUGUGUGAAGAAGGCCUUCGGGUUGUAAAGCACUUUCAGCGAGGAGGAAAGGUUGAUGCCUAAUACGUAUCAACUGUGACGUUACUCGCAGAAGAAGCACCGGCUAACCCCGUGCCAGCAGCCGCGGUAAUAC
rnacentral:rRNA from 1 species